AAAUUGAAGAGUUUGAUCAUGGCUCAGAUUGAACGCUGGCGGCAGGCCUAACACAUGCAAGUCGAACGGUAACAGGAAGCAGCUUGCUGCUUCGCUGACGAGUGGCGGACGGGUGAGUAAUGUCUGGGAAACUGCCUGAUGGAGGGGGAUAACUACUGGAAACGGUAGCUAAUACCGCAUAACGUCGCAAGACCAAAGAGGGGGACCUUCGGGCCUCUUGCCAUCGGAUGUGCCCAGAUGGGAUUAGCUUGUUGGUGGGGUAACGGCUCACCAAGGCGACGAUCCCUAGCUGGUCUGAGAGGAUGACCAGCCACACUGGAACUGAGACACGGUCCAGACUCCUACGGGAGGCAGCAGUGGGGAAUAUUGCACAAUGGGCGCAAGCCUGAUGCAGCCAUGCCGCGUGUAUGAAGAAGGCCUUCGGGUUGUAAAGUACUUUCAGCGGGGAGGAAGGGAGUAAAGUUAAUACCUUUGCUCAUUGACGUUACCCGCAGAAGAAGCACCGGCUAACUCCGUGCCAGCAGCCGCGGUAAUACGGAGGGUGCAAG
rnacentral:rRNA from 1 species